rnacentral:lncRNA from 1 species
CAAUUAUAAAUCUACUACUUUAAUCUUUUAAAUUUUUAAUUUUACUAUUCAAUUUCUUUAGUCAAUGAUACUCUAAGUUUAAAUUUAAACUAAUUUGCUAUUUUAAUAAAUUUAUAAUUACAAAAAAUUACAUAAAUCUUACUAAUUAAAUCUGUAAAGAUAAAUAAUUAUAUUUAAAUUUUAAAGUUAAAGUAAAAAAAAAAUUUGAAAGGUUGGAUAGCUAAUUCAAAUUGAUCUAUAGUUCAGAUAGAAUAUAUUAAUCAAGCC